GCGCUUCUCCUGUGCCGUGGCAGCGGUAGUGGUGGCGGCGGCAGUGUCGCCGGCCUGAUCCCAUGGUCCUCCCGGACACCCAGCUCGCGCAGCUGCAGCAGGAGCGUGUCCACACUCGGCGUGUCGUCGGCGUCGUGGACGGUGGUCGGCGCGGGCGCGGUGACCCUCGCCGUCUUCGCCGACUUCGCGGUAGCACUUGACGUCGUAGCUCAUACGCAUAUACGCUGGGUACAGACGGCCGCAUCGGAGGAGUGCGGAUGCGGGGGGUGCAACGGAAGGCGAGUGCGGCGGCGGGCGAGCGCGGCGGUGGGCAAAGCAGCGGAAGGCGAGCUAGGCGAAGCGGAAGACAGUGGAUGGGACGAGGAGCUCCCCCGUGCUCGACCGCCACCACCGCCGUGCCCCCGC
rnacentral:lncRNA from 1 species